ACUUUGAUUUAUGUAAUGUGCUUACGUAAUGUCAUUAUGUAACAUCAUUAUGGGCAUGGCAAAUUGGAUUCUAUUUCAGGCUCUACAGAAGCCAGACCAGGAGCUCCCCUCUGGCCCAGCGAGAAUCACUGCUUAGUUCUGCGCCGCCUUUCUCUCUUUGGGAUGUCUUCUCAAAGUUUCACUGGAAGGCCCUCAGCUUCCAGAAGGCUGUAUUUGCUGGUUGGUAAGGAAAUGGACUGGAAACUGCAGUUCAGAAAGGCUAACCGUUUCUACAUGUUAGAGUCUCAUCUCCUCAGCUAGAAUGGAAGCAUCUUGAGGGCAAGGAAGGAAACAAAGACAAGAUAUAGCUCACCCCUCGCCUA